rnacentral:rRNA from 1 species
AGGACGAACGCUGGCGGCGUGCUUAACACAUGCAAGUCGAGCGGUAAGGCCUUUCGGGGUACACGAGCGGCGAACGGGUGAGUAACACGUGGGUGAUCUGCCCUGCACUCUGGGAUAAGCCUGGGAAACUGGGUCUAAUACCGGAUAUGACCUGCUCUCGCAUGGGGGUGGGUGGAAAGAUUUAUCGGUGCAGGAUGGGCCCGCGGCCUAUCAGCUUGUUGGUGGGGUAAUGGCCUACCAAGGCGACGACGGGUAGCCGACCUGAGAGGGUGACCGGCCACACGUGGGACUGAGACACGGCCCAGACUCCUACGGGAGCAGCAGUGGGAAUAUGCACAAUGGGACGAAAGCCUGAUGCAGCGACGCCGCGUGAGGAUGGAAGGCCGUUACGGGUUGUUAAACCCUCUUUCAGCGAGGGACGAAGCGACAAGUGACGGUACCUGACAGAAGAAGCGAACCGGACUAACUACAGUCGACCAGACGACGCCGGACGGUUAACUCGUAGGACGGCCGGUCGUA